rnacentral:misc_RNA from 1 species
AAUUUGGGAUACUGCUGGUCAAGAGCGUUUUCGAACAAUUACAACUGGUUUGUCUCAGUGCUUAAUUUUUUUAAAUGGCAUUAAAAAGUAAUCAUGCUUCUGUUUAAAAUUAAAAUGUUGAUUUUUUUUUCUUUUUUCUCUGUUAUAUUUUAUAAAGAAAAGGAGGUAUUGCUGUUUGAUGCUUCAUUUGUUUGUAUCUUAACAUUUUAGACAAUACUAGAGCAGCAUGUUUUCUCGAUUGUCAAUAUUUGUAGAACAGUAGAAGUGUGAGCUUGUUUCCUAUGCUUAGCCUAUAUGAUUGAUAAGCCAAAAUUUUACUUGAUUUGAUAUCUAAGAAAAUGGAACUCUUUUCUUUAACAGUUUCCCUUGCGCCUUUACUUUUUCCUUGAAUUCAUUCUUUUCAUUGGGGCUAUAGAAAUUUAAGGCUUACUUCUUAGCAAGUAUGGAUAUAAAUAUGGGAUGCAAGGAUGAGAAGAUAUGGAUAAUCAUGGCCACUGUCCAGUUCGGAACAGGGACUGGUCCUACCCAUAACCAAAACCCAUCCAACCUGGAUUGACAAAAAAUGACCUUGAACUGGACUGGACCAGUCCAGCUUCUGACCAAAACCCCUUUUUUUAUUAAAAAAAAUAAAAAGAAAAAGAUGCUGCCAUUCAAAAUUUGAUUGACUGAACGUCACUAGGAUAUUUCACAUUACUCAAUUUAGAGCAAAUGCACACAUUUAUUCCCAUCAACAAAGUACAAUCUAUUCGGUGAGAGGACUAAAAGCACCCCUUCUCAUAUUGGACAUUUCUACUGUUCCUCAUAAAGUCAAUGAGUGAACGAUUAGAGGCAGUAUUCUGAUACAUUCCCCACCAUUUCAUAAAACUGCUUUCUCUCAAGAAAAUCUCAGGUGAUACUGCAUAAUUCUUGAUUUGCUCCAUUACAUACUUCUCAAAGUCAAUUAGGCAUUCCCUUGAUGAUUGUUUCUCCAAGGCACUGGAUGUAGGAGCCAUCAACAAUUCACAUGAAAUGAUAGCUUCCUCCACCUUUGCCCAAAAGCAAGAAUCCUCUGUCAAAGCACCAGCCACUUCUUUCUUCUUCUUGUUACUCGGGGGGCCAGUAGGUCUAUCUGCAUCCUCUUUUUGCCACUUCUCCAACAGACGGUAAUGUUCAGACCUUAAAGCCUCAUAGUUUCUGUUGCCAUGUGUUCUGUAGUACUCUGCUAUCUCAAGAGGCUCAACCAUUCUUCUAUAAUUUGUUCCGGCAAAAAGCCACGUCAAUUGAAUGAAUUUCCCUUCCUUUUGGGGCUUUUUCUCAGCUUCUUCAACCAAGUCUUUCCAGUAGUUCGUGAGAAAUUUCUUAUACUUGGUAACAUCUCUAUCACUUUCAGAAAGAUGGUUCUUGUAACUAUCAUAGUAUCCUAUUUCCUUGGCCUUGCACCUCUUCUUGUACCAUUCGAGGUAGGCCAUUUUUAUCUUUAUUUCAUUUAAUUUUCGGCUUGGAUUCAAGGCUUUCCUUUUAUUGAACAUACGGAUUUGCUCCCUUUCUUUCAAUUUGGAGACCAGGUUGGUGAAGUCCUUGUUAUGCUGUGGUUGCUGCUAAGAAGAUCAGAGUUAAUUUGGAUUGGUUUUUUCAGAAAAUCUAAAAGCAAAUAGCAGAAAGAGGUGUAAACAAAAAUUGCCAACAUUUUUUCUUGUAAGGAUUUUGCCAUGAGCAGAAAAUCAAAAAGUGCACUGCACUGCCACAUGCAUACUUCAGGUAAGUUAAUUGCGUGUGAAAGUUAAUCCUUCAUUUCUUUCUGUGCACAAAAUGAGUAAAAGCAUAACUUAUCAGGGCUGGCAAGGUUGCUAUAGUUUUAUAGUUUAUAUCAGAUAUACUUGUUAUAGUGAAACUCAUCUGUAUAAGCUAAUCUCAUCUGUAUAGUUCAUCUAAUAACUAUCUAAAUUAACAGCCUAACAACCUGAUGUACUCAAGUCUGUUAAGGACUCAUGUAUCUGUAUAUAUUUGACAAAUCAGUAAUACAAAGAAUCAGCUUCGGUUCAAGUUGCUAUAUGGUAUCAGAGCCAUAUUGUCAACGACACAAAGUUUAGUUACCACAAACUCCACAUAUUUGUUUUCUUCUCCCUUCCCAAAGGUGAGUCAAUAUGUGUCUGUGAAACUCACAUCGUCAAAUUAUAUGCUGUGGAAAGCCCAGCUGUUACCACUGCUCAAUUGAUACAAUUUAUCCAGCCAUGUUUCUGAAUCUUCCACUCCUCCCUCACCAUUGUUGAAUGAUAACACACUCAAUCCUGAAUAUCAAGUUUGGUAUUGACAAGAUCAGUUGGUUUUGAGUUGGCUGUUUUCAACUAUUUCUGAAAAUCCUCUUCCUCAGAUAAUUGGAUCUGUGACAGCCAAGGAAGCUUAGAAUAAGCUUGCAACAAUCUUCCUAAUGGGUUCUCAUACCCGGAUGUUUCAGCUCUGUAAACAGCUGAAGCCCACUAUUGAUGUGUAUAUGUCGCGGGCAAAACAAAUCUUUGACCAACUCGCUGCCCUCCAAGCACCAAUCACCGAAGAAACUCUUGUGAAUGAUGUGCUAGAGGGGCUGGGCAGUGAGUAUUGUCCGUUUAUUUGGGCAAUAGAGGCUCGAAAUGCUCCAACACAGUUUGAUGACUUGUAUGCCAUGCUGCUUAGCGAGGAAACACAAUUAAAAAUGGAGACACUUUCUGUUACAUCCUCAAUUACACCAUCGGCUCAUGUUGCCACUAAGCCACAAAAUACAAGCAGUCGUGUUCCUAGUCGUGGACGGGGCAGAGGUUCCUCUCGAGGAGGACAUAACUACUCACAACCCUCCACUCUUUCCACAACAAUUAUUUCACAACUGCAGGGGCCAAGGACACAUCGCCAAACAAUGCCCUUCACCAAAAUUGAAUACCACCUCUCCACGCCAGCCAGCAACUUACCUUGCCUCAACUGAUCAUUCUAGAAUGAACAAAUGGACUAUUGAUUCAAGUGCUAACUUCCAUCUCACAGCUGAUAACAGCAACAUCUUCGAGUCUCUUCCUUAUCAUGGCAAUGGCCAAGUGACUGUUGGUAAUGAUGGUACUUCGCCAAUCACUCACUUUGGUAAAUCUCAUUUUUCAGUUAAUAAUUGCUCUUUUGUGCUUGACAAUAUCCUUUGCUCACCUAAUAUUUCAUUGAAAUCUGCUAUCUGUUAAUGCCUUUACCACUCAAAAUAAUGUAUCUAUUGAGUUUUUCCCUGAUGUUUUUGUUAUUAAGGAUAUCCCCACAAAGCAAGCAUUGCACCAAGGCCGAAGUGAUGGAGGGCUAUAUAAUCUGCUGCUUCGACUGUCCCAAUUGUCUCCUCAAGCGAAUUCACUGGAACUUCAAACCUAGCAUGCUCGCCUUGGACAUGCUAAUUGCACAGUUCACUCCCUUUUGUCUCAUCAGAAUGUUUCUUUUAUUAGCAAUAAAGAUUCUAUUACUCCUUCUCAUGCAUGUAAUGUUAGUAAAAUGCAUAAGUUACUAUUUGCUGAUUCUUAUUCUUUUGUUAAUAAACCCUUUGAGUUAAUUUGCUUUGAUGUCUAGGGUAACUACUGACAAAUUGGUAUC